GCGGUCCUGUGGCCUUGCCGCACCAGGAGCCACCGGUGAAUGGACGUCCCAAUUCGCUGAGCUGCCAGAAACAGCCAAACAGAAGGGCUAAAAGCAAUUUUCCCUUGCCCUGCAGAGGGCUGUGACGCAACAUUUAAAGCCUCACAUACACACACGGUCUCUCCCAUGCUGGCUGGCACAUUAAAAAAUUGGGUUAAGUUAUAGA